GUUCAAAGACAUGCUGUUCGGGUUCAGCCGUAGUGUGUGAGUUUUACUGAUGUCUGUUUUUACCUGUUUCUGUCUUGCAAUAAGUUCCAACAGACCAACGCACCCUGUGGCUGGUAAGCGUACCACGGUUUACCCCUUGGCCUUGCUCUCUCCCGAGCUGCCUACGGGUCCGGGGUUGGGGGAGCAGCCACUUUCACUGGGGCGGGAGGCCGGUGCUGUUCCCUCAGUCUGUUGACUGCAGCCAGAACUGUUGUCAACUCACUGAAGUACAGCCACCUGGGCAUCAUAUGCCAGCUUUAUAAAUGAGGGUAUCAGCUCGGAAAAGGUUAAUGAGGGUCAGGGUGAGGCAAAAAGAAAAAAAAGCAGGAGGAGUAGUAGCACGAAUAAGCACCAACCACAAAAGUGGGUGAUAAAUCACAAAAUGUGCUCCAGAGGAAAUGCUUUUGUGGAACAGCGCUUUCAGCUGCACAAAUAAUCAUACAUGUUCACUGUUAUCACCUAGCGACGCUUCUCAGAAUUUAUAAUUGUAGGUCUCCGUCCGACUUCUCCUCCUGCUCCCUGUGGGUGGAGGAAGGACGCGGCGCUAAAUACAGCCCUUCGGACCCUGUGCCAUCGAGAAGGUUCUCGAUCCCCCCUCGCGCACAACUGGGACGGAGCUCGUGGGCACCUGGCGCUGCGCUCAUCAUGGGCAGGAGAAAGUCCGGCAAACGGUCACUGUGUUUUUGCGCACAGGGGAGGGGAAGUCGGUCCACAUGGCGUUCUGUUUCCAGCGGAAAAAAAAAAAACAAUUUUCUUGUUUUUAAAAAUAAUAAGCUCCAGGUAAUAAUGAUUUUUCUUGUUGCCUUUAAUGGUUCAGGGAAGCAUGCUUUCAAACAGUGUUUACUCUUUCGUCAUUGCUCAUUAAACAUCCACAACAUUUUACGAGAACUGUAUUUUAUCUUCCAGAUUUCUGAAACUCAAAUACGCUGCAGUUCAAACUGCAGCGACGCUGUAAUAAAUCAGCCUCUGGAAUUUCCUCAGAGUUUUUUCUUUUCAAUUGUGCAUUCAAGGAUGUCUGUAAACUUGCCAGAUUCCUCCCAGGGUCAUAUGAUUUCUGUUUACUGGUGAAUUUGAGGUGGUCUCCACUUCCAUGAAUUCUCUCGUGAACAGAGGGUCACUUACAUGAGUUGGCCCACAGGAACUUCUCUUUGCACCCAGCUCUUCCAGUCAUAACCAUCUCCAGGGCCGCUUUUAUGAUGUGAACAAGUGUCAAACUUCAGUGUUGAAAAGAAGUCUAGCAGUCAGCCUGUUGUCAACGUAUAAAUUUGUGUUCUGUACAUAUACAUUGCUGUGAAGAAGUAAGUACACCCCACCCAAAAAAACAGUGUGUUUAACAAUCUUGUAUGUAUGGACAUUUUAUUUUUCAUUUGAACAAUACUAAUAGAUAAAGGUGAUGCGUAGAUUAGAUUAAUCCUCUUCGCUCCAGAUGGAGCAAAAGGUGCGAACAAAUGUCCACCAGCCAUUCGCGAUCCUAAACUAACAAGCUGAUUUCGUUCCAGUCUUGCCCAUCUUCUUUAACUCUCUUCUUUGACUGUCCUUCUCCAGGUGCCCAGGGUUCUACCUUACUGUCGCUUGCUAGGUGGUGCCCAUCUGAGUGCUACGUAGGGGUGUCUGGUCACAUUCUCGUGCAGUACGUGGCCCAGCCAUCUCCAACGCACGUCUCUGUUUCCUUUUGUGUGUAAUGAUGUUAACGCUCCUCCGUUCACUUAUUUCUCUGUUACUUGCAUGUCGUUACCAGCGGACUCUGAGGAUUCCUUGGCGGCAUCGACCUUCAGAACCUCUGAGCCGGCUGUCAACCUUCUUGUUUCUCCUCCGAGUCUCCGCAGCAUGCAGCACAACCGAUUGCACGUUCAAUCUGUAGAUCUCAAACUUGGUCCUGUCAUGCAACACAGAUGAUUUCCAGAUGUUAAGUCUGCUGAAAGCUUGCGCUGCCAGCGCAACCUGCGUAGAAAUUUCUCUCUCAAUAUUGCAAUCAGUUGAGAUGUAGCUGCCAAGAUACUUGAAGUCCUUUACUGCAUCCAGUUCUAUCCCUUUGAUAAUCGCUUUAUUUCUAGUGGUGGUCUUCACU
rnacentral:lncRNA from 1 species